rnacentral:rRNA from 1 species
UACGAAGGGGGCUAGCGUUGCUCGGAAUCACUGGGCGUAAAGCGCACGUAGGCGGAUUGUUAAGUCAGGGGUGAAAUCCUGGAGCUCAACUCCAGAACUGGCCUUUGAUAACUGGCGAUCUUGAGUCCGGGAGAGGUGAGUGGAACUGCGAGUGUAGAGGUGAAAUUUGUAGAUAUUCGCAAGAACACCAGUGGCGAAGGCGGCUCACUGGCCCGGUACUGAC